rnacentral:rRNA from 1 species
GUGGGGAAUAUUGGACAAUGGGCGAAAGCCUGAUCCAGCAAUGCCGCGUGAGUGAUGAAGGCCUUAGGGUUGUAAAGCUCUUUUACCCGGGAAGAUAAUGACUGUACCGGGAGAAUAAGCCCCGGCUAACUCCGUGCCAGCAGCCACGGUAAUGCGGAGGGGGCUAGCUUUGUUCGGAAUUACUGGGCGUAAAGCGCACGUAGGCGGUUUUGUAAGUUAGAGGUGAAAGCCUGGGGCUCAACCCCAGAAUUGCCUUUAAGACUGCAUCACUUGAACGUCGGAGAGGUGAGUGGAAUUCCGAGUGUAGAGGUGAAAUUCGUAGAUAUUCGGAAGAACACCAGUGGCGAAGGCGGCUCACUGGACGACUGUUGACGCUGAGGUGCGAAAGCGUGGGGAGCAAACAGGAUUAGAUACCCCAGUAGUCC